rnacentral:rRNA from 1 species
UACGAAGGGGGCUAGCGUUGUUCGGAAUUACUGGGCGUAAAGCGCACGUAGGCGGUUUGCUAAGUCAGGGGUGAAUCCUGGAGCUCAACUCCAGAACUGCCUUUGAUACUGGCGGACUUGAGUCCGGGAGAGGUGAGUGGAACUGCGAGUGUAGAGGUGAAAUUCGUAGAUAUUCGCAAGAACACCAGUGGCGAAGGCGGCUCACUGGCCCGGUACUGACGCU